GAUGAACGCUGGCGGCGUGCCUAAUACAUGCAAGUCGAGCGAACGGACGAGAAGCUUGCUUCUCUGAUGUUAGCGGCGGACGGGUGAGUAACACGUGGAUAACCUACCUAUAAGACUGGGAUAACUUCGGGAAACCGGAGCUAAUACCGGAUAAUAUUUUGAACCGCAUGGUUCAAAAGUGAAAGACGGUCUUGCUGUCACUUAUAGAUGGAUCCGCGCUGCAUUAGCUAGUUGGUAAGGUAACGGCUUACCAAGGCAACGAUGCAUAGCCGACCUGAGAGGGUGAUCGGCCACACUGGAACUGAGACACGGUCCAGACUCCUACGGGAGGCAGCAGUAGGGAAUCUUCCGCAAUGGGCGAGAGCCUGACGGAGCAACGCCGCGUGAGUGAUGAAGGUCUUCGGAUCGUAAAACUCUGUUAUUAGGGAAGAACAUAUGUGUAAGUAACUGUGCACAUCUUGACGGUACCUAAUCAGAAAGCCACGGCUAACUACGUGCCAGCAGCCGCGGUAAUACGUAGGUGGCAAGCGUUAUCCGGAAUUAUUGGGCGUAAAGCGCGCGUAGGCGGUUUUUUAAGUCUGAUGUGAAAGCCCACGGCUCAACCGUGGAGGGUCAUUGGAAACUGGAAAACUUGAGUGCAGAAGAGGAAAGUGGAAUUCCAUGUGUAGCGGUGAAAUGCGCAGAGAUAUGGAGGAACACCAGUGGCGAAGGCGACUUUCUGGUCUGUAACUGACGCUGAUGUGCGAAAGCGUGGGGAUCAAACAGGAUUAGAUACCCUGGUAGUCCACGCCGUAAACGAUGAGUGCUAAGUGUUAGGGGGUUUCCGCCCCUUAGUGCUGCAGCUAACGCAUUAAGCACUCCGCCUGGGGAGUACGACCGCAAGGUUGGAACUCAAAGGAAUUGACGGGGACCCGCACAAGCGGUGGAGCAUGUGGUUUAAUUCGAAGCAACGCGAAGAACCUUACCAAAUCUUGACAUCCUUUGACAACUCUAGAGAUAGAGCCUUCCCCUUCGGGGGACAAAGUGACAGGUGGUGCAUGGUUGUCGUCAGCUCGUGUCGUGAGAUGUUGGGUUAAGUCCCGCAACGAGCGCAACCCUUAAGCUUAGUUGCCAUCAUUAAGUUGGGCACUCUAAGUUGACUGCCGGUGACAAACCGGAGGAAGGUGGGGAUGGCGUCAAAUCAUCAUGCCCCUUAUGAGUUGGGCUACACACGUGCUACAAUGGACAAUACAAAGGGCAGCGAAACCGCGAGGUCAAGCAAAUCCCAUAAAGCUGUUCUCAGUUCGGAUUGUAGUCUGCAACUCGACUACAUGAAGCUGGAAUCGCUAGUAAUCGUAGAUCAGCAUGCUACGGUGAAUACGUUCCCGGGUCU
rnacentral:rRNA from 1 species